rnacentral:rRNA from 1 species
UGACUNGAGUGCAGAAGGGGAGAGUGGAAUUCCAUGUGUAGCGGNGAAAUGCGUAGAUAUAUGGAGGAACACCAGUGGCGAAAGCGGCUCUCUGGUCUGUCACUGACGCUGAGGCUCGAAAGCGUGGGUAGCGAACAGGAUUAGAUACCCUGGUAGUCCACGCCGUAAACGAUGAGUGCUAGGUGUUAGGCCCUUUCCGGGGCUUAGUGCCGGAGCUAACGCAAUAAGCACUCCGCCUGGGGAGUACGACCGCAAGGUUGAAACUCAAAGGAAUUGACGGGGGCCCGCACAAGCGGUGGAGCAUGUGGUUUAAUUCGAAGCAACGCGAAGAACCUUACCAGGUCUUGACAUCCCGAUGCUAUUCUUAGAGAUAGGAAGUUACUUCGGUACAUCGGAGACAGGUGGUGCAUGGUUGUCGUCAGCUCGUGUCGUGAGAUGUUGGGUUAAGUCCCGCAACGAGCGCAACCCUUAUUGUUAGUUGCCAUCAUUAAGUUGGGCACUCUAGCGAGACUGCCGGUAAUAAACCGGAGGAAGGUGGGGAUGACGUCAAAUCAUCAUGCCCCUUAUGACCUGGGCUACACACGUGCUACAAUGGUCGGUACAACGAGUUGCGAGCCGGUGACGGCAAGCUAAUCUCUGAAAGCCGAUCUCAGUUCGGAUUGGAGGCUGCAACUCGCCUCCAUGAAGUCGGAAUCGCUAGUAAUCGCGGAUCAGCACGCCGCGGUGAAUACGUUCCCGGGCCUUGUACACACCGCCCGUCACACCACGAGAGUUUGUAACACCCGAAGUCGGUGAGGUAACCUUUUAGGGGC